CCUACGGGGGGCAGCAGUGGGGAAUAUUGCACAAUGGGGGAAACCCUGAUGCAGCGACGCCGCGUGAGUGAAGAAGUAUUUCGGUAUGUAAAGCUCUGUCAGCAGGGAAGAAAAUGACGGUACCUGACCAAGAAGCCCCGGCUAACUCCGUGCCAGCAGCCGCGGUAAUACGUAGGGGGCAAGCGUUAUCCGGAUUUACUGGGUGUAAAGGGAGCGUAGACGGUAGGGCAAGUCUGGAGUGAAAGGCGGGGGCUCAACCCGCGGACGGCACAUGAUACUGCGAGACUAGAGUAAUGGAGGGGGAAGCGGAAUUCGCGGUGUAGCAGUGAAAUGCGUAGAUAUUAGGAGGAACACCAGUGGCGAAGGCAGCUUACUGGACUGUAAAUGACGCUGAGGCUCGAAAGCGUGGGGAGCAAACAGGAUUAGAUACCCCUGUAGUC
rnacentral:rRNA from 1 species